rnacentral:rRNA from 1 species
GCAAGUCANGCGAACNGACGAGGAGCUUGCUCCUUUGACCUUAGCGGCGGACGGGUGAGUAACACGUAGGUAACCUACCUAUAANACUGGGAUAACUUCGGGAAACCGGAGCUAAUACCGGAUAAUAUUUCGAACCGCAUGGUUCGAUAGUGAAAGAUGGCUUUGCUAUCACUUAUAGAUGGACCUGCGCCGUAUUAGCUAGUUGGUAAGGUAACGGCUUACCAAGGCAACGAUACGUAGCCGACCUGAGAGGGUGAUCGGCCACACUGGAACUGAGACACGGUCCAGACUCCUACGGGAGGCAGCAGUAGGGAAUCUUCCGCAAUGGGCGAAAGCCUGACGGAGCAACGCCGCGUGAGUGAUGAAGGUCUUCGGAUCGUAAAACUCUGUUAUUAGGGAAGAACAAACGUGUAAGUAACUGUGCACGUCUUGACGGUACCUAAUCAGAAAGCCACGGCUAACUACGUGCCAGCAGCCGCGGUAAUACGUAGGUGGCAAGCGUUAUCCGGAAUUAUUGGGCGUAAAGCGCGCGUAGGCGGUUUUUUUAAGUCUGAUGUGAAGCCCACGGCUCANCCGUGGAGGGUCAUUGGAAACUGGAAACUUGAGUGCAGAAAAGGAAAGUGGAUUCCAUGUGUACCGGUGAAAUGCGCAAAGAUAUGGAGAACACCGUGGCGAAGCANCUUCUGUCUGUAACUGACCUGAUUGCGAAACGUGGGGAUCAACAGGAUNAAUACCUGGUAUCC